UCUAAGGAAAUCGAAAAAUUGUUUUUUUCGAUUUAAAAAAAAACGGUAAUGUGGCCGUCCUCAUUUCUCUUCUUUACUUAAUGUCUCUGACAAAAACUGCAAAGGGGCCGGUAGCUCAGGUGGUUAGAGCGCACCCCUGAUAAGGGUGAGGUCGGACGUUCGAGUCGUCCUCGGCCCACCAAAUUUUAAGGGGGGAUUAGCUCAGCUGGGAGAGCGCCUGAUUUGCAUUCAGGAGGUCAGCGGUUCGAUCCCGCUAUCCUCCACCAAAAUUGAGACAUUUAGUUCUUUUAAAUUGUAAAUAUUAUUAUCAAUAUCUAUAUCCGAUUGUUCGAAGAUAUGAACAAUCAAUAAAUAUUCGAAUAGAUGAAUAUUUAAUAAAAAUUUGAUUCAACACAGAAUUUUUUUCUGUGCAUAAAU
rnacentral:misc_RNA from 1 species